rnacentral:rRNA from 1 species
ACGUAGGGGGCGAGCGUUAUCCGGAUUUACUGGGCGUAAAGCGCGUUAAGGCGGUUGGCAAAGUUGGUUGUGAAAUCUCAGGGCUCAACCCUGAAAUUGCGACCAAUACUGGUCGACUAGAGUGUGAGAGAGGAAGGUGGAAUUCCCGGUGUAGUAGUGAAAUGCGUAGAUAUCGGGAGGAACACCAGUGGCGAAGGCGGCCUUCUGGCUCAUAACUGACGCUGUAGCGCGAAAGCGUGGGGAGCGAACCGGA